rnacentral:rRNA from 1 species
UACGUAGGGUGCGAGCGUUAAUCGGAAUUACUGGGCGUAAAGCGUGCGCAGGCGGUUUUGUAAGACGGAGGUGAAAUCCCCGGGCUCAACCUGGGAACUGCGCUUGUAACUGGCAAGCUAGAGUGUGGCAGAGGGGGGUGGAAUUCCACGUGUAGCAGUGAAAUGCGUAGAGAUGUGGAGGAACACCGAUGGCGAAGGCAGCCCCCUGGGCUAACACUGACGCUCAGGCACGAAAGCGUGGGGAGCAAACAGG